rnacentral:rRNA from 1 species
UUGAUCCUGGCUCAGAAUCAACGCCGGCGGCGUGCCUAACACAUGCAAGUCGAACGCGAAAGUCCCGCAAGGGAUAAGUAGAGUGGCAAACGGGUGAGUUACGCGUGGGUGACCUUCCUUCGAGCGGGGGAUAACGUUCCGAAAGGGACUCUAAUACCGCAUAACAUCCUGCCUUUGAAGAGGUGGAGAUCAAAGCUAGUGAUCGCAAGACCUGGCACUUGAAGAGGGGCCCGCGUCUGAUUAGCUAGUUGGUGAGGUAACGGCUCACCAAGGCUUCGAUCAGUAUCCGGCCUGAGAGGUCGAACGGACACACUGGGAAUGAGACACGGCCCAGACUCCUACGGGAGGCUGCAGUGGGGAAUUGUUCGCAAUGGGCGCAAGCCUGACGACGCAACGCCGUGUGGAGGAUGAAGAUUUUCGGAUCGUAAACUCCUGUCGAACGGGACGAAUGGAUCGCGGGUUAACAGCCCGCGGUAGUGACGGUACCGUUAAAGGAAACUCCGGCUAACUCCGUGCCAGCAGCCGCGGUAAUAAGGU